UUCUUCGUGGUCAAGUGGUAAAGACACUUGCCUCUCACCCCAGAGUCCCGGGUUCUAUUCCCGGUCGAGGAGC